GGAUGUAGCUUGUUGAUAGAGUACAUGCUUAUAAUGCAUGAAGCCCUAGGUUCAAUUCCCAGCACCA
rnacentral:tRNA from 1 species